rnacentral:rRNA from 1 species
GACGAACGCUGGCGGCGUGCUUAACACAUGCAAGUCGAACGGAAAGGCCCUGCUUUUGUGGGGUGCUCGAGUGGCGAACGGGUGAGUAACACGUGAGUAACCUGCCCUUGACUUUGGGAUAACUUCAGGAAACUGGGGCUAAUACCGGAUAGGAGCUCCUGCUGCAUGGUGGGGGUUGGAAAGUUUCGGCGGUUGGGGAUGAACUCGCGGCGGAUCAGCUUGUUGGUGGGGUAGUGGCUUACCAAGGCUUUGACGCUUAGCGGGCCUGAGAGGGUGACCAGACAGACGGGGACGGAGACACGGCCCAGACUCCUACGGGAGGCAGCAGUGGGGAAUAUUGGACGAUGGGCGCAAGACUGAUCCAGCAAGGCCGCGUGAGUGAUGAAGGCCUUAGGGUUGUAAAGCUCUUUUACCCGGGAUGAUAAGGACAGGACCGGGAGAAUAAGCUCCGGCUAACUCCGUG